GGGCCUAUGGUGUAAUGGAUAGCACACCCGCCUUCGGAGCGGUGAAUCCGGGUUCGAAUCCUGGUAGGCCCG
rnacentral:tRNA from 1 species